rnacentral:rRNA from 1 species
UGGUGGAGUGAUUUGUCUGGUUAAUUCCGAUAACGAACGAGACCUUAACCUGCUAAUUAGUCAGGCCAACAGUUUUGUUGGUUCUUGACUUCUUAGAGGGACUGUUGAUGUUUAAUCAACGGAAGUUUGAGGCAAUAACA